AUACGGAGGAUGCGAGCGUUAUCCGGAUUUAUUGGGUUUAAAGGGUGCGUAGGCGGGCUGAUAAGUCAGUUGUGAAAGUUUGCGGCUCAACCGUAAAAUUGCAGUUGAAACUGUCAGUCUUGAGUAUAGCAGAGGAAGGCGGAAUUCGUGGUGUAGCGGUGAAAUGCUUAGAUAUCACGAAGAACUCCAAUUGCGAAGGCAGCUUUCUAGACUAUAACUGACGCUGAGGCACGAAAGUGUGGGUAUCAAACAGGAUUAGAUACCCUGGUAGUCCACACAGUAAACGAUGAAUACUCGCUGUUUGCGAUACAUUGCAAGCGGCCACGCGAAAGCAUUAAGUAUUCCACCUGGGGAGUACGCCGGCAACGGUGAA
rnacentral:rRNA from 1 species